AUAAUUUGGAACUGAAAUUUAAAGAUUGGAAAGAGUUUUGGAAGCAAGAUGGGCUGCCUGUAGUUUAAGGUUAACUCUAGCUGUGUGGCGUGCUUAUCCAGUGCUAUAUUACUAUUUUCACUGAAAUCAAAAGUACUUAGGUAUGGCUGCCCAUCUUGAAAAACAGGCAGAUCAGUGGAGAGGCUCGUGUCAGCUCCGGGUUGCUUCUCUCACCUCUCCCGGCAGAGCAAAAACCUUGCAAGUUCCCCUCCCUUCAGGAAAUGGCUCCUGGGCAGCAAAGAGAAACAGGAUUCAACCAGGCUGCUUCUCUGCUG